UACCAGCACCCCGAGUGGUCGGGACGUUUAUUGGGCCUAAAGCAUCCGUAGCCGGUUCUACAAGUCUUCCGUUAAAUCCACCUGCUUAACAGAUGGGCUGCGGAAGAUACUAUGGAGCUAGGAGGCGGGAGAGGCAAGCGGUACUCGAUGGGUAGGGGUAAAAUCCGUUGAUCCAUUGAAGACCACCAGUGGCGAAGGCGGCUCACUGGCUCAUUACUGACGCUCAGGCGCGAUAGCGUGGGGAUCAAACAGG
rnacentral:rRNA from 1 species